rnacentral:rRNA from 1 species
UACGGAGGGUGCAAGCGUUGUCCGGAUUUAUUGGGCGUAAAGCGCAUGCAGGCGGCUCAUUACGCAUGGCGUGAAAGCCCCCGGCUUAACCGGGGAGGGUCGUCGUGAACGGGUGAGCUUGAGGGUAUCAGGGGCUGGUGGAAUUCCCGGUGUAGUGGUGAAAUGCGUAGAGAUCGGGAGGAACACCUGUGGCGAAGGCGGCCAGCUGGGAUACACCUGACGCUGAGAUGCGAAGGCGUGGGGAGCGAACGGG